rnacentral:tRNA from 2 species
UACAUACUAGCCAAAUGGAAAAGGCGCUUGAUUUCGGCUCAAGAUUAUACAGGUUCAAAUCCUGUGUAUGAAC